UGUAUUUUUAUCGAAAGUGAAAAACAUUUUAAUAUUGUUAAAAACUAAAGCAUCUUACCUUCAAACUAAUUGUGCAUGUGUUUUGAAAUCAAACUUAUUUUUCAAAUCGGAAGUUAUUUUUGUCGUGUUUUAUUCAUUUUCUUCCUACAGCUUUAUCGAACGAUUGAUUGAUGUACAUAAAAAUGCGUAUGAGAGUUAAAACUUUUUUCUUUUAAAAUGUCAAACAAUAUCACCAUUGGGAAUCCUAUGUCUUCUUGAAUGGUUUGAGCGUGUUUGAGUACAAAUGUACAGCGACCCGAAGGCUCAUUAGAUGGGAGUGGGAUUAUUGCAACUAGGAGAAUGCCCGCUUGGUUUUGCGAAAUAAGUUUUGAAUUGUUUUUACAACCAGGUUGAUUGAUACGACCAGGACUGUCUGUACCCGUAUGACGAUACACCGUACACGUUCAGUGUUUCAUAAACACAGUCCAGUUAUGAACAGGGAGGAUAAUAGUCUCUAAGGCUUUUGAUUAUUCAGCUUUGAAAAUGGCAGAAGGAGACGUGGUAUAUACGCGGUCAGAGACUGGAAGCGAUCAUAGACACAGCGGCCUGUACAGCCGUCACUCUCGAAAUUAUGUGGAAAGUGUGUCCGUGGAGAUCUGUACUAUAAUGACCCGGCUGGGAUACGGCGAGGAGAUCAGGCGGUGGCGGGUUGAGAAAUAUAGGAGGCAAGAUAGGCUGAUA